rnacentral:lncRNA from 1 species
AUAUGCGGCAUUAAUUAGGUCACAUUUAUUGCUGCCGUCUCUUCAUCAUUAAAGCCAGCUUCGGAAUUCCAUUCGGCGGCUUUUCUCUCCCUUUUUCUCUCUCUUGUUUUUUUCCUCUCCAUGUUUUCUUUUCUUUCUUCGCAUGAGGCUUUCGUCUUCUUCAUCCUCGCUCUUCUCAUCUUUGAUCUUUUAUGGUCUUUGUUUUGCCAUUUCCUUUAACUUUUCUAAGAUGGCGCCACUUCCUCCUCUUCCCUAUUCUCCUUCUCUCGAUUAUACUUUACUUCGACAAUUCGUCCAGUCGAACCCUUCGCGAUUU